rnacentral:rRNA from 1 species
CCCUUAGAUGUCCUGGGCCGCACGCGCGCUACACUGAGUGUCUGAGAUACGAGUCUGCCUGGUCCGGCAAGGUCUAGGUAAUCGCUAAAAGAUACAUCAUGCUUGGGAUAGAUUAUUGCAAAUAUUAAUCUUGAACGAGGAAUUCCUAGUAAGCGCAAGUCAACAGCUUGCGUUGAUUACGUCCCUGCCCUUUGUACACACCGCCCGUCGCUACUACUGAUUGGAUGUUUAAGCGAGGUUCUCGAACUGCUAGCGACUUAGCUUCGGUGAGGUCGCAGUGUGGGAAGUGAACCUAGCUUUGGUGUCUAGAGGAAGUAAAAGUCGUAACA